ensembl:lncRNA
CCCAUCCCUGAAGGUGCUCAGGACGAGAUUGGAUGGGUCUCUGGGCAGCCUGAGCUGAUGGGAGGAAACCAGACCAUGGCAGAGGGUUGGAACUGAGUGGGCUUUAAGGUCCAUAGAGUCAUAAAAUAUACUGAAUUGGAAGGAAUCCAUGGGGAUCAUUGAAUCCAACUCCAGUCUUCAUACAGGAGUACCAAAAAUUCAAACCCUAUGUCUGAGAAUGUUGUAGAAACUUCUUAAACUUCAGCAAGCUUUGUUCCAACCCAAAAUAUUCUGUGAUUCUAUGAUAAUGCAGUUUUUGUCUGAGAAGGACUUGAUAUCAGAAAGAUAAACAAAACAAAACAAAGAACAGAUCAGAGGCAAAUAAAAUAAAAACAAAGAUGUAACCAAAAUGGCAGUGAUAUCAUAGGCCAGUAGGGCUAUUGAAAAUGACAACUACCUGCAGCCUUUUCACCAGAAGGCUUUGAUUUGCUAAGAGCAGUGAAUGAGGUAUUUGCAUGCAGACAGUGUCAGAGGGCAGACUUGCACAAUGAUUGAGAUUGUGCAAAUAAGACGAUUCAUCAGAGUCCAGUAGAUUCUUAAGGAGAAAGUCUAGAACUGUGCCACUAUUUCAGAGUACAUCUCUCAAUCACUGAGUCAAGAUUCCCAGGAGUUAUGAAAGGCAAUCAUGUGGCUCUCAAAGGACUGUAAGAGUCAUUAUAAUGUAAAAUGAAUAAAACUUAAUCCUCAUCACUUUUUUCCAUAGCUUAUUCCUGCUUGGACAAAUGUUCCUUGUCAACUUCUUGAAAAAUAUGUGGACCAUACUGCAGGCUCUCUGUUGUCACAGCUAGCUGGUGGUGGUGUUCAGUCUAUCAUUUAAAGCCCGCUACCUGUUAGUCUGAUUCCCCAUACCAGUGUGCUUCCUUGCCCCCCUUACCUGUGAACAGAAUGUGGUGAGGCUAGAAACAUCCAGAGGAGAGUGACAGAGGAUGUGGACCAAGCUUGCUAUGACUUCUUGCUCUGAGAAAGGCUUGACCAAGAGGAGACUUGGUCCCUAUGGGCUGCAAUGCCAGUUGGAGCAGACACAGAGGAAACAUGUGGAGAUGGUGGGCUACAGCCUCUCUGAGGCUUUGCUGUGGGCUGCUCUUAUGGCUGUUACACAUUUGAGUGGCUUCAAGGGAGAAGAUGCGUGAGUUUGUGGGAGAAAUCCAGAGAUCAUUAUUAAACACGAAGAAACCACAUCUAACUGAGGAAGUCCCUGAGGAGAAAAUGGGUGGGAAAGGACUUGGAAGAAAGUACCAUGUGUGCUCAUGCUGUUCUUGCACUCCAGCUGUACUCCUAAGCUCACAUCUAGGGAGGAACAUGUGGUGUGUGUGUAAGUUGUUUUCAUCCAGAACAUGAACCAUCUGCUACUUUUACAACUUCUGAAACUGAGCAGCCUUUUCUUCCUGAUAGGACCUUACAUUUCAAAUGAUGAUCAAAUUUUGGGACUUCCUUCUGUGCUUGCUUCAUGCUUUUGUAAACGUGAACAUGGCUCUUGGGAAGCAUUUUGGAUUGACGGCUUCAGCAACUGGAAAAAAGAAAUAGACAUCAUAAUCACUGUCAGAAAAGGACUGCAAAAAGAAACUGAGAGCUUAAUUAUGCCUGCAAAGGGGCGGGCUUUUUGUACAGGUGAUGAUAAAAGCAAGAUGAAGGGAAAGGAGGG